rnacentral:rRNA from 1 species
GCUACUGGUGGCAGCAGUGGGGAAUAUUGCACAAUGGGGGAAACCCUGAUGCAGCGACGCCGCGUGAGUGAAGAAGUAUCUCGGUACGUAAAGCUCUAUCAGCAGGGAAGAAAAUGACGGUACCUGACUAAGAAGCCACGGCUAACUACGUGCCAGCAGCCGCGGUAAUACGUAGGGGGCAAGCGUUAUCCGGAUUUACUGGGUGUAAGGGGAGCGUAGACGGCAGCACAAGUCUGGAGUGAAAGCACGGGGCUCAACCCCGGGACGGCUGUGGAGACUGUGCGACUAGAGUGCAGGAGGGGGAAGCGGAAUUCGCGGUGUAGCAGUGAAAUGCGUAGAUAUUGAGAGGAACACUGGUGGCGAAGGCGGGUUACUGGACAGUAACUGACGUUGAGGCACGAAGGCGAGGGGAGCAAACGGGAUUAGAUACCCGAGUAGUC